GAUCAUGGCUCAGGAUGAACGCUAGCUACAGGCUUAACACAUGCAAGUCGAGGGGCAGCAUGAAUUUACUUCGGUAAAUUUGAUGGCGACCGGCGCACGGGUGCGUAACGCGUAUCCAACCUUCCCGUUACUCCGGGAUAGCCUUCCGAAAGGGAGAUUAAUACCGGAUGGUGUUCAAGUGGUGCAUAUUACCCCCCCCCCCCCCCCCCCCCCCCCCCCCCCUUUGAACUAAAGAUUUAUCGGUAACGGAUGGGGAUGCGUACCAUUAGAUAGUAGGCGGGGUAACGGCCCACCAUGGCGACGAUCAGUAGCCGGUCUGAGAGGAUGAACGGCCACAUUGGGACUGAGAUACGGCCCAGACUCCUACGGGAGGCAGCAGUGAGGAAUAUUGGUCAAUGGCCGGAAGGCUGAACCAGCCAAGUAGCGUGAAGGAUGAAGGUUCUAUGGAUUGUAAACUUCUUUUAUACGGGAAUAAAGCCCGCUACGUGUAGCGGUUUGUAUGUACCGUAUGAAUAAGCAUCGGCUAACUCCGUG
rnacentral:rRNA from 1 species